ACGCUAGCUACAGGCUUAACACAUGCAAGUCGAGGGGAAACGGCAUUAAGUGCUUGCACUUUUUGGACGUCGACCGGCGCACGGGUGAGUAACGCGUAUCCAACCUUCCCAUGACUAAGGGAUAACCUGCCGAAAGGCAGACUAAUACCUUAUGGUCUUCACUGACGGCAUCAGAUGUGAAGUAAAGAUUUAUCGGUUAUGGAUGGGGAUGCGUCUGAUUAGCUUGUUGGCGGGGUAACGGCCCACCAAGGCAACGAUCAGUAGGGGUUCUGAGAGGAAGGUCCCCCACAUUGGAACUGAGACACGGUCCAAACUCCUACGGGAGGCAGCAGUGAGGAAUAUUGGUCAAUGGGCGAGAGCCUGAACCAGCCAAGUAGCGUGCAGGAUGACGGCCCUAUGGGUUGUAAACUGCUUUUGUAUGGGGAUAAAGUCAAUCACGUGUGAUUGUUUGCAGGUACCAUACGAAUAAGGACCGGCUAAUUCCGUGCCAGCAGCCGCGGUAAUACGGAAGGUCCGGGCGUUAUCCGGAUUUAUUGGGUUUAAAGGGAGCGUAGGCUGGAGAUUGAGUGUGUUGUGAAAUGUAGACGCUCAACGUCUGACUUGCAGCGCAUACUGGUUUCCUUGAGUACGCACAACGUUGGCGGAAUUCGUCGUGUAGCGGUGAAAUGCUUAGAUAUGACGAAGAACUCCGAUUGCGAAGGCAGCUGACGGGAGCGCAACUGACGCUGAAGCUCGAAGGUGCGGGUAUCGAACAGGAUUAGAUACCCUGGUAGUCCGCACAGUAAACGAUGGAUGCCCGCUGUUGGUACCUGGUAUCAGCGGCUAAGCGAAAGCAUUAAGCAUCCCACCUGGGGAGUACGCCGGCAACGGUGAAACUCAAAGGAAUUGACGGGGGCCCGCACAAGCGGAGGAAC
rnacentral:rRNA from 1 species